GANCNNGNGGCNNCCCCCUAUACAUGCAANCUCGAGCGGAUAGAGAGAAGCUUGCUUCUCUUGAGAGCGGCGGACGGGUGAGUAAUGCCUAGGAAUCUGCCUGGUAGUGGGGGAUAACGCUCGGAAACGGACGCUAAUACCGCAUACGUCCUACGGGAGAAAGCAGGGGACCUUCGGGCCUUGCGCUAUCAGAUGAGCCUAGGUCGGAUUAGCUAGUUGGUGAGGUAAUGGCUCACCAAGGCGACGAUCCGUAACUGGUCUGAGAGGAUGAUCAGUCACACUGGAACUGAGACACGGUCCAGACUCCUACGGGAGGCAGCAGUGGGGAAUAUUGGACAAUGGGCGAAAGCCUGAUCCAGCCAUGCCGCGUGUGUGAAGAAGGUCUUCGGAUUGUAAAGCACUUUAAGUUGGGAGGAAGGGCAUUAACCUAAUACGUUAGUGUUUUGACGUUACCGACAGAAUAAGCACCGGCUAACUCUGUGCCAGCAGCCGCGGUAAUACAGAGGGUGCAAGCGUUAAUCGGAAUUACUGGGCGUAAAGCGCGCGUAGGUGGUUUGUUAAGUUGAAUGUGAAAUCCCCGGGCUCAACCUGGGAACUGCAUCCAAAACUGGCAAGCUAGAGUAUGGUAGAGGGUGGUGGAAUUUCCUGUGUAGCGGUGAAAUGCGUAGAUAUAGGAAGGAACACCAGUGGCGAAGGCGACCACCUGGACUGAUACUGACNCUGAGGUGCGAAAGCGUGGGGAGCAACAGGAUUAGAUACCCUGGUAGUCCCNCCGUAACGAUGUCACUANCNUUGGGGACUUGAGUCUUUAUGGCCACUACNCAUAAUUGACNCNUGGGANUCGGCCCAGNUAACNAAUAAUGCGGGGCCCCCACGGNGACCUGGUUAUCAAACNNAAACUCCGCUGCUCAUACUCAAAUGAGNNCUCGACUNANGGCUCUGUUCNCCNNCGANUGUANCNAANNCUNCUNUCCCUUGGGCUAGAUNGANCGAAGGNACCNUGCUCCGNCUAGNGAGUCCGGGAUCAANUCCUCCGA
rnacentral:rRNA from 1 species